rnacentral:rRNA from 1 species
CCUACGGGUGGCAGCAGUGAGGAAUAUUGGUCAAUGGACGAGAGUCUGAACCAGCCAAGUAGCGUGAAGGAUGACUGCCCUCUGGGUUGUAAACUUCUUUUAUAUGGGAAUAAAAUGUUCCACGUGUGGGAUUUUGUAUGUCCCAUAUGAAUACGGAUCGGCUAACUCAGUGCCAGCAGCCGCGGUAAUACGGAGGAUCGGAGCGUUAUCCGGAUUUAUUGGGUUUAAAGGGAGCGUAGGUGGAUUGUUAAGUCAGUUGUGUAAGUUUGCGGCUCAACCGUAAGAUUGCAGUUGAAACUGGCAGUCUUGAGUACAGUAGAGGUGAGCGGAAUUCGAGGUGUAGCGGUGAAAUGCUUAGAUAUAUCGAAGAACACCGAUUGCGAAGGCAGCUCACUGGACUGCAACUGACACUGAGGCUCGAAAGUGUGGGUAGCAAACAGGAUUAGAUACCCCAGUAGUC